UACGUAGGCAGCAAGCGUUGUUCGGAAUUACUGGGCGUAAAGAGUGUGUAGGCGGUGUUCUAAGUCUGUUGUGAAAUCUCCCGGCUUAACUGGGAGGGUGCGGCGGAGACUGGAAUGCUAGAGUGUGGGAGAGGUAAGCGGAAUUCCUGGUGUAGCGGUGAAAUGCGUAGAUAUCAGGAGGAACACCGGUGGUGUAGACAGCUUACUGGACCACGACUGACGCUGAGACGCGAAAGCGUGGGGAGCAAAAGGG
rnacentral:rRNA from 1 species